rnacentral:lncRNA from 10 species
GGCCUGAGCAGGACUUUGCAGCCAAGGCCACUGGACUAGCUUGAGAGUCCUGGGCAGCAUCCAGGCACGGGCUCCAGGCCUUCUGCCCCAGCUCGAGGUGCCAUAGCAGGUGCCUCUCAUGGGAUUGGGGCAAGUGGCACAGUCUUGAGGCUCCCCCAGUCAGACCCUUCCCCCUUCUCCCCAGGCCAUGGUGGGCAGGUGGCCACUUCCGUUGCUGCCUGUGUCUGAGGACAUUGGCCCAGGGUUGGCAAGAAGAGGAAGGUGUUGCAUCAACAUGCAGCACAUUCACCUGACAAGGAGCUGGCCGCAGCCUCCGCUGCCAAACGGUGACGGUGCUGGCUGGUGCCCCCAGGAGCUGUUCACCACCUCCCGGGCUAAUGGCGCUUGCUGCCUGGCACACAGCAGGUGACUACACUGCAUGGCAACACAAGCAGCUAAAACGCAGAUAGAAACCCCAACCUGGGAAAAGGAGUCCUACAGCAACUUUUCAGAAGCUUCAGAAGAAGGACGCCGGAGAAUGCCCGCCCGGGACUCCGAGGUGCCCUGUGCUCAUGGAUUGGUCCUCCUGGCUCCAUGAGUGUGAGUGAGUGUCUGCAGGUCCCUGGCACAAAAGCUGCAGUGCUGAGCAGGUGGCUAAUGGCCCUGGCUGGGUGAUUUUGGACAAGUCACCUUUGCCUCUCUGGCCUCCAUUGUCCCUCUGUCAAACAGGCCCCACGACAGCAAGCGUUGGUUAUUGUGUCUAUGGUCAACAUCCCACCUGCCUUUCUGGGCAGAGACGUUUGGGAGCAGUGGCUGUAUCCCUGAGCACGUCGUAAGGGCACUUUCCUGCAUGCCCUGGCUGGAGGGACCUGUUGCUGGGAAAACUCCCCAGAGUGUGAACCGGCGGCGGCUCCACCAUCUGGGUGCCGUGGGCAUGGUGCAUGGCGGGAAGGAGGCCGGCACCACAGAAGGGUGGCAGCUGUCCCCGGAAGGCUCUCCCCUGAGGGCGCCCAGGGCUCCACCGCUAGCCAGCCAUCUCCUUGCAGUAAGGCACGUUUCCUCCAGAUCCUCUCGGAACUGCCGGGAGUGGCUGCCCCACCCGCCCAGCUCUCCCUGGGUCCUGCCAGGCAGGGAAGCGUGAACCGAGACGGGCUCGGGAUGGCUCUCAGGCCCUCCCUGCUCUCAGCACCAAGGGAGGCACCCAGAGACUGAUCUGUGGGGGCAACGGAGACUCCGGGUCCCCCCACCAGGAUACGUCCCCUUUCUUUGCAUCUGAUGCUGACACACACAUACGAGGAGCCCAGAGGCAGAAACGGGACUCAGAGCCUGACGCUGAGGCUGGUGUGUGGGGCUGCCUCUCCCAGUGCUGAGGCUGGCGUGUGGGGGCUUCCUCUCCCGACACUGAGGCUGGCGUGUGGGGCUGCUUCUCCCGACGCUGAGGCUGGCGUGUGGGGCUUCCUCUCCCGACGCUGAGGCUGGCGUGUGGGGCUUCCUCUCCCGACGCUGAGGCUGGUGUGUGGGGCGGCCUCUCCUGGUGCUGAGGCUGGCAUGUGGGGCGGUCUCUCCCGACCUUGAGGCUGGCAUGUGGGGCUUCCUCUCCCGACGCUGAGGCUGGCGUGUGGGGCUUCCUCUCCCAACCUUGAGGCUGGCAUGUGGGGCUUCCUCUCCCGACGCUGAGGCUGGCAUGUGGGGCGCCCUCUCCCGACCUUGAGGCUGGCAUGUGGGGCUUCCUCUCCUGACCUUGAGGCUGGCAUGUGGGGCUUCCUCUCCCGACGCUGAGGCUGGCGUGUGGGGCGGCCUCUCGGGAGCAGGCGGCCUCGGGGAUCCUGGGGGUCAGCAGCCCCUCCACAGCUGCACCUCCCGGGACUGACCCUGCAGAACCCACCUCCCGCCAGCCCCUCCACAGCAGGACAGCACCCGCCUCCUUUUCCAAGGCCGCCUCGCCCAGUGGAGGCUGCAGCUCUACUGGGUGUGAGUCAGGAGGAAACGCUCGCAGCCAACACAGGCAGGACACGCCCACGUGACAUCGGAUCCCACGGGGAGGAGUCCACUGGGCAAAUCUGAACAAUGUGGGGGAAGAUAUUGAUGAGAUGUUAAACAUAACCCAUAGAAGAAGAAUCUACAAGUCCGUACUGACGUAAAUAAAUAAACAGGCAUUGGGGAGAGACAGCUUUUCCUUACCAUAGAAUUCCAACUCAGCCGCAGAAUCCUGGUGGGAACCGUCAUCAAAGUCAACGGGAGCAGACACCACCAAACCCCAGAUCAAAGUCAGCAUCGCCAGCAACGGGCACACGGACACCAGGAAACUCCAUCAGCAUUGCUUUUGCUGUAUUCUUGACAAAAUUGUACAGUUUAAUUUUUUUUCUUUUUUCUUUCCUUUUUUUUUUUAGAGAUGGGGUCUCACUGUGUUGCCCAGGCUAGAGUACAGUGGUGUGAUCACAGCUCACUACAGCCUUCCGUGGCUGGGACUACAGGCACACACCACCACAUCUGGCUUGUUUUUUUGUUGUUGUUCUUGUUUUACUGUUUACUUUGUAGAGAUGGGGUGUAGCUAUAUUACCCAGUCUUGACUUCUGGCCUCAAGUGAUCCUCCCACCUUGGCCUCCCAAAGUGUUGGGAUUACAGAUGUGAGCCACUGUGCCCAGCUGUAUAAGUGGAAUUUAAUUAUGAGGAAAUCUACAGUGAAUCCAAAUUAAGGGAUAGUCCACAAAAUAACUGACAAUAUUCUUUAGAAGUGUCAAUGUCAUGAAAAAACAAAGACUGAGGAUUCGUCCCAGAUUGAGAGACUAAGGGGCCACGAGGACUAAACACAACAUGGGACCCUGGACUAGGAAAGGGUGGUGAGUGGGACGGUCAGCAGGGGUGAGCGGGACGGUCAGCAGGGGUGAGUGGGAUGGUCAGCAGGGCGUGCAUGAGGGGUUUGCUGGGUGAUCCUGUUGUAUCAGUGGCCAUUCUCUGAUCAUUGUACAAUUGAUCACUAUCCUCAAAGCUA